ACGCACGCUGGCGGCGUGCUUAACACAUGCAAGUCGAACGGAAAGGCCCCUUUGGGGGUACUCGAGUGGCGAACGGGUGAGUAACACGUGAGUAACCUGCCCUUGACUUCGGGAUAACUUCAGGAAACUGGGGCUAAUACCGGAUAGGAAUCCUUGCUGCAUGGUGGGGGAUGGAAAGCUUCGGCGGUUUUGGAUGGACUCGCGGCUUAUCAGCUUGUUGGUGGGGUAGUGGCUUACCAAGGCUUUGACGGGUAGCCGGCCUGAGAGGGCGACCGGCCACAUUGGGACUGAGAUACGGCCCAGACUCCUACGGGAGGCAGCAGUGGGGAAUAUUGCACAAUGGGCGGAAGCCUGAUGCAGCAACGCCGCGUGCGGGAUGACGGCCUUCGGGUUGUAAACCGCUUUCAGCAGGGGCGAAGCUUGUGGUGACGGUACCUGCAGAAGAAGCACCGGCUAACUACGUG
rnacentral:rRNA from 1 species